CAGAGAACAUUGCCCUCACGGGUGACUCUCCAACCCAAUGUUAUAUUAUACCUUUGUUGCUUUGGCGAGCCGUCUCGGCCACCGGCUCACGCUGGUGAGUGCCCGCCAGAGGACCCUAAACUCUGAAUGUUAAUGUCGUCUGAGUACUAUAUAAUAGUUA
rnacentral:misc_RNA from 1 species